rnacentral:rRNA from 1 species
GGGCGAAAGCCUGACGGAGNACGCCGCGUGAGGGAUGAAGGCCUCUGGGCUGUAAACCUCUUUUCUCAAGGAAGAAGAUCUGACGGUACUUGAGGAAUAAGCCACGGCUAAUUCCGUGCCAGCAGCCGCGGUAAUACGGGAGUGGCAAGCGUUAUCCGGAAUUAUUGGGCGUAAAGCGUCCGCAGGCGGCCCUUCAAGUCUGCUGUUAAAACGUGGAGCUUAACUCCAUCAUGGCAGUGGAAACUGUUGGGCUUGAGUGUGGUAGGGGCAGAGGGAAUUCCCGGUGUAGCGGUGAAAUGCGUAGAUAUCGGGAAGAACACCAGUGGCGAAGGCGCUCUGCUGGGCCAUAACUGACGCUCAUGGACGAAAGCCAGGGGAGCGAAAGGGAUUAGAUACCCCUGUAGUCCUGGCCGUAAACGAUGAACACUAGGUGUCGGGGGAAUCGACCCCCUCGGUGUCGUAGCCAACGCGUUAAGUGUUCCGCCUGGGGAGUACGCACGCAAGUGUGAAACUCAAAGGAAUUGACGGGGGCCCGCACAAGCGGUGGAGUAUGUGGUUUAAUUCGAUGCAACGCGAAGAACCUUACCAGGGUUUGACAUCCUGCGAACCUCUUGGAAACGAGAGGGUGCCUUCGGGAGCGCAGUGACAGGUGGUGCAUGGCUGUCSUCAG